rnacentral:rRNA from 1 species
AGUUCUGAUUAUUGAAAGGUGCUUGCAUCUUGAUUUAAUUUUGAACGAGUGGCGGACGGGUGAGUAACACGUGGGUAACCUGCCCUUAAGUGGGGGAUAACAUUUGGAAACAGAUGCUAAUACCGCAUAAAUCCAAGAACCGCAUGGUUCUUGGCUGAAAGAUGGCGUAAGCUAUCGCUUUUGGAUGGACCCGCGGCGUAUUAGCUAGUUGGUGAGGUAACGGCUCACCAAGGCAAUGAUACGUAGCCGAACUGAGAGGUUGAUCGGCCACAUUGGGACUGAGACACGGCCCAAACUCCUACGGGAGGCAGCAGUAGGGAAUCUUCCACAAUGGACGCAAGUCUGAUGGAGCAACGCCGCGUGAGUGAAGAAGGCUUUCGGGUCGUAAAACUCUGUUGUUGGAGAAGAAUGGUCGGCAGAGUAACUGUUGUCGGCGUGACGGUAUCCAACCAGAAAGCCACGGCUAACUACGUGCCAGCAGCCGCGGUAAUACGUAGGUGGCAAGCGUUAUCCGGAUUUAUUGGGCGUAAAGCGAGCGCAGGCGGUUUUUUAAGUCUGAUGUGAAAGCCCUCGGCUUAACCGAGGAAGUGCAUCGGAAACUGGGAAACUUGAGUGCAGAAGAGGACAGUGGAACUCCAUGUGUAGCGGUGAAAUGCGUAGAUAUAUGGAAGAACACCAGUGGCGAAGGCGGCUGUCUGGUCUGUAACUGACGCUGAGGCUCGAAAGCAUGGGUAGCGAACAGGAUUAGAUACCCUGGUAGUCCAUGCCGUAAACGAUGAAUGCUAGGUGUUGGAGGGUUUCCGCCCUUCAGUGCCGCAGCUAACGCAUUAAGCAUUCCGCCUGGGGAGUACGACCGCAAGGUUGAAACUCAAAGGAAUUGACGGGGGCCCGCACAAGCGGUGGAGCAUGUGGUUUAAUUCGAAGCAACGCGAAGAACCUUACCAGGUCUUGACAUCUUUUGAUCACCUGAGAGAUCAGGUUUCCCCUUCGGGGGCAAAAUGACAGGUGGUGCAUGGUUGUCGUCAGCUCGUGUCGUGAGAUGUUGGGUUAAGUCCCGCAACGAGCGCAACCCUUAUGACUAGUUGCCAGCAUUUAGUUGGGCACUCUAGUAAGACUGCCGGUGACAAACCGGAGGAAGGUGGGGAUGACGUCAAAUCAUCAUGCCCCUUAUGACCUGGGCUACACACGUGCUACAAUGGAUGGUACAACGAGUUGCGAGACCGCGAGGUCAAGCUAAUCUCUUAAAGCCAUUCUCAGUUCGGACUGUAGGCUGCAACUCGCCUACACGAAGUCGGAAUCGCUAGUAAUCGCGGAUCAGCACGCCGCGGUGAAUACGUUCCCGGGCCUUGUACACACCGCCCGUCACACCAUGAGAGUUUGUAACACCCGAAGCCGGUGGCGUAACCCUUUUAGGGAGCGAGCCGUCUAAGGU